CGGCCCAGACUCCUACGGGAGGCAGCAGUAGGGAAUCUUCCGCAAUGGACGAAAGUCUGACGGAGCAACGCCGCGUGAGUGAUGAAGGUUUUCGGAUCGUAAAGCUCUGUUGUUAGGGAAGAACAAGUACCGUUCGAAUAGGGCGGUACCUUGACGGUACCUAACCAGAAAGCCACGGCUAACUACGUGCCAGCAGCCGCGGUAA
rnacentral:rRNA from 1 species